rnacentral:rRNA from 1 species
AGGGUUUGAUUAUGGCUCAGAACGUACGCUGGCGGCACGCCUAACACAUGCAAGUCGAACGAAGUAGCAAUACUUAGUGGCGAACGGGUGAGUAUAAUGUGGGUAUCUGCCCAUUGGUUUGGAAUAACACGGGGAAACUUGUGCUAAUACCGGAUAAGCCUUCACAGGGAAAGCUUUAGCGCCGAUGGAUGAGCCCGCACUUGAUUAGCUAGUUGGUAAGGUAAUGGCUUACCAAGGCUACGAUCAAUAGCUGAUCUGAGAGGAUGAUCAGCCACAUUGGGACUGAGACACGGCCCAAACUCCUACGGGAGGCAGCAGUGGGGAAUCUUGCACAAUGGGGGAAACCCUGAUGCAGCGAUGCCGCGUGAGUGAAGAAGGCCUUUGGGUUGUAAAGCUCUUUCGUCGGGGAAGAAAAUGACUGUACCCGAAUAAGAAGGUCCGGCUAACUUCGUGCCAGCAGCCGCGGUAAUACGAAGGGACCUAGCGUAGUUCGGAAUUACUGGGCUUAAAGAGCUCGUAGGUGGUUAGAAAAGUUAGUGGUGAAAUCCCAAGGCUUAACCUUGGAACUGCCACUAAAACUUUUUAACUAGAGUAUGAUAGAGGUAAGCGGAAUUUCUAGUGUAGAGGUGAAAUUCGUAGAUAUUAGAAAGAACACCAAUUGCGAAGGCAGCUUUCUGGAUCAUUACUGACACUGAGGAGCGAAAGCAUGGGUAGCGAAGAGGAUUAGAUACCCUCGUAGUCCAUGCCGUAAACGAUGUGUGCUAGACGUUGGAAAUUUAUUUUUCAGUGUCGCAGCAAAAGCGUUAAGCACACCGCCUGGGGAGUACGACCGCAAGGUUAAAACUCAAAUGAAUUGACGGGGACCCGCACAAGUAGUGGAGCAUGUGGUUUAAUUCGAAGAUACGCGCAGAACCUUACCAACACUUGACAUGUUCGUCGCGACUCUAAGAAAUUAGAGUUUUCGGUUCGGCCGGACGAAACACAGGUGCUGCAUGGCUGUCGUCAGCUCGUGUCGUGAGAUGUUGGGUUAAGUCCCGCAACGAGCGCAACCCUUACUUUUAGUUGCUACCAUUUAGUUGGGCACUCUAAAAGAACUGCCAGUGAUAAGCUGGAGGAAGGUGGGGAUGACGUCAAGUCCUCAUGGCCCUUACGUGUUGGGCUACACACGUGCUACAAUGGUACUCACAAUGGGAAGCAAAGAGGCGACUCUAAGCAAAUCCCAAAAAGGUACCUCAGUUCGGAUUGUACUCUGCAACUCGAGUACAUGAAGCUGGAAUUACUAGUAAUCGUGGAUCAGCGCGCCACGGUGAAUACGUUCCCGGGUCUUGUACACACCGCCCGUCACACCAUGGAAGUUGGUUACACCUUAAGGCAAAGCAUAAAACCUUUGACUACGGUACGAUCAGCGACUGGGGUGAAGUCGUAACAAGGUAACCA